UACGAAGGGGGGCUAGCGUUGUUCGGAAUUACUGGGCGUAAAGCGCUCGCAGGCGGAUCGAUAAGUCAGGGGGUGAAAAUCCCGGGGCUCAACCUCGGAAUUGCCUUUGAUACUGUCAAUCUCGAGUCCGGGAGAGGUGAGUGGAAUUCCUAGUGUAGAGGUGAAAUUCGUAGAUAUUAGGAAGAACACCAGUGGCGAAGGCGGCUCACUGGCCCGGAACUGACGCUCAUGAGCGAAAGCGUGGGGAGCAAACAGGG
rnacentral:rRNA from 1 species